rnacentral:rRNA from 1 species
UACGGGGGGGGCAAGCGUUGUUCGGAAUUACUGGGCGUAAAGGGCGCGUAGGCGGCCUUCUGAGUCGAACGUGAAAUCCCCGGGCUCAACCCGGGAACUGCGUCCGAUACUGGGAGGCUUGAAUCCGGGAGAGGGAUGCGGAAUUCCAGGUGUAAGCGGUGAAAUGCGUAGAUAUCAGGAGGAACACCAAUAGCGAAGGCAGCUCGCUGGGACGGUAUUGACGCUAAGGCGCGAAAGCGUGGGGAGCAAACAGG